rnacentral:rRNA from 1 species
GUGGGGAACAUUGGACAAUGGGCGAAAGCCUGAUCCAGCCAUGCCGCGUGUGUGAAGAAGGUCUUCGGAUUGUAAAGCACUUUAAGUUGGGAGGAAGGGCAGUAAGUUAAUACCUUGCUGUUUUGACGUUACCGACAGAAUAAGCACCGGCUAACUUCGUGCCAGCAGCCGCGGUAAUACGAAGGGUGCAAGCGUUAAUCGGAAUUACUGGGCGUAAAGCGCGCGUAGGUGGUUUUGUAAGUUGGAGGUGAAAUCCCCGGGCUCAACCAGGGAACUGCCUCCAAAACUGCAUGACUAGAGUACGGUAGAGGGUAGUGGAAUUUCCUGUGUAGCGGUGAAAUGCGUAGAUAUAGGAAGGAACACCAGUGGCGAAGGCGACUACCUGGACUGAUACUGACACUGAGGUGCGAAAGCGUGGGGAGCAAACAGGAUUAGAAACCCGGGUAGUCC